rnacentral:lncRNA from 12 species
AAUAUAAUGUGUGAUGGAAAAAGGACAUGGACAUCCUGGUGAAAAAUAAUUGGAUGGCUGUUUCCAUGGAAACUGAUAGAGGGACAUCACUGAAUUCUUCUGAAGAAUAGCAAUUAUAUGCUGAUGAUGAUCAAUAUCCAUUGUGAGAUGACCUGACCUGACCAGAGCAGCAAGACCAUUACUCGAUGUGCUUUCAGAAUGAGACACAAUCCAAAUGGGAGGAUAAUUGGAGCUUGGAACUGCGUGCUCUGUGACAGUGGCUUGGAUGGUGUCCUGAUGUGAAGCAUGUUCUUCUAACCUACAGAGCUCUCCUCGCUCCUCCCUGAACAGCCAGCCCUGGUUGUACUCAGCCGAAAUCAAUGCAAUCAAUGAAAACAGCACACAAGUUCCACUGAACUUUAUAGUCUAACAUAGGCCUGGAGCUUACAGUUUUAUUUAUUUAUUUAUAAGAUUUUAUUUGUUUAUUCAUGAGAGACACAGAGAAAGAGGCAGAGACACCAGCAGAGGAAGAAGCAGGCUCCCUGCAGGGAGCUGGAUGUGAGACUUGAUCCCAGAACCCGGGUGGAAGGGCGAUGCUCAACCGCUGAGCCACCCAGGCAUCGCUGGAGCUUAUAGUUUAUACGG